GGCGCUGUAGCAUGUGGUGUUGCACCACGGUUUACUUGAAGGACAACAUAUUGUUGUCGCGGAUGUCCUGGGUUCGACUCCCGGUGGUGCCG